CCUACGGGCGGCAGCAGUCGAGAAUCAUUCACAAUGGGGGAAACCCUGAUGGUGCGACGCCGCGUGGGGGAAUGAAGGUCUUCGGAUUGUAAACCCCUGUCAUGUGGGAGCAAAUUAAAAAGAUAGUACCACAAGAGGAAGAGACGGCUAACUCUGUGCCAGCAGCCGCGGUAAUACAGAGGUCUCAAGCGUUGUUCGGAAUCACUGGGCGUAAAGCGUGCGUAGGGUGUUUCGUAAGUCGUGUGUGAAAGGCGCGGGCUCAACCCGCGGACGGCACAUGAUACUGCGAGACUAGAGUAAGGGAGGGGGAACCGGAAUUCUCGGUGUAGCAGUGAAAUGCGUAGAUAUCGAGAGGAACACUCGUGGCGAAGGCGGGUUCCUGGACAUUAACUGACGCUGAGGCACGAAGGCCAGGGGAGCGAAAGGGAUUAGAUACCCUUGUAGUC
rnacentral:rRNA from 1 species